GGCGGCGUAGCUCAGCUGGCUAGAGCAUACGGUUCAUACCCGUAAGGUCGGGGGUUCGAUUCCCUCCGCCGCUAC
rnacentral:tRNA from 1 species